AAUAAACGUUGGCGGCGUGCCUAACACAUGCAAGUCGAGCGAGAAAGCUCUUUCGGGAGUAAGUACAGCGGCGGACGGUUGAGUAACACGUAAGAAUCUGCCCUUUAGUGAAGAAUACCCUCGAGAAAUCGAGGUUAAUGCUGCAUAAGUCCCUUCGGGGAGAAAGAUGGCCUCUUUGCUGUCGCUGAAGGAUGAGCUUGCGGCCUAUCAGCUUGUUGGUGAGGUAAAGGCUUACCAAGGCGAUGACGGGUAGCCGGCCUGAGAGGGUGUACGGCCAGACUGGAACUUAGACACGGUCCAGACUCCUACGGGAGGCUG
rnacentral:rRNA from 1 species